rnacentral:rRNA from 1 species
CCUACGGGUGGCAGCAGUGGGGAAUAAUGCGCAAUGGGCGAAAGCCUGACGCAGCGACGCCGCGUGAGGGAUGAAGGUCUUCGGAUCGUAAACCUCUGUCAGCAGGGAAGAACGGUCACUGUGCUAAUCAGCAGUGAAUUGACGGUACCUGCAAAGGAAGUACCGGCUAACUCCGUGCCAGCAGCCGCGGUAAUACGGAGGGUGCGAGCGUUAAUCGGAAUUACUGGGCGUAAAGCGCUCGUAGGCGGUAUGUCAAGUCAAGGGUGAAAUCCCCGCGCUCAACGUGGGAACUGCCUUUGAAACUGGCAGACUGGAGUGUGUGAGAGGAGAGUGGAAUUCCAGGUGUAGGAGUGAAAUCCGUAGAUAUCUGGAGGAACAUCAGUGGCGAAGGCGACUAUCUGGCACAUAACUGACGCUGAGGAGCGAAAGCGUGGGUAGCAAACAGGAUUAGAUACCCUAGUAGUC